UAGGAGAUGAAGGAAGCUUAGGGAUGGAUUCCCCAUAUGAGGUUCUUUGAGAGGCUCGUGCUAGAGGACCGUGCUCGCGGCUUUGGUGCAUCAGGAGGCUCGGAAUGCAGGUAAGGGCAAUGACUGAGUCAACCAACCAUGAGUACGGAGAGCGUGAAGCGACGCGUACAUGUUUGGCCUGCCCGACUGCUUUGGUUGGGGGUUUAUUCGUAAAUGGCUGUAAU